GGCGCGGCCGGGAGUCCGAAGGUGGGGGCGGAAACCAGCCUUCUCCCGGAAGUGUGUGUGGUUUCUAGGGGGGCAGGAAGCGGACCGGGGUGAGAACAGGUGCGGCGGGGUCUUCGUCCCGGGUGGCGGGCGAGGAAGAAAAAAGAAUUUAAAAAAGCGGCCAUGUCGGCCUUCGACGCGAACCCCUUCGCGGAUCCCGUGGACGUCAAUCCCUUCCAGGUAAGCCAAUCAGCUGGCCAACGCCAACA